CUGAUAACUUGAGAAUUGUUGACCAUAGUAAUAUAGGAGGAGGAGGGUCACAUAAGCAAACCUUUUCAUCUUGUAUAUACAGGUUAUAGUUCUAACUUUCUGUUCUUGGAGUAACUUCAUUAUACAAUCUUGACCCAUCACCACCAUAAAGCUUGAGGUUGAUAUUUCGUGGAUGAAUUUAUGGUGUGUUUUGAUGAUAUAAAUGGUGAACACAAAAACAUCCGUGUCAACAACACCAGCAAGCGAUGAAGACCCAGAUACUUCCAGCGUGACUGCUUCAAAUGAUUCUAAUUCGGGUAGUACCUUUACUGCAGAUACGUCAUCAACGUAUACAACACUAACGGAUAUAAAUACUACCAUAUAUGGAAAUGUGACUGAUAUACCCGAAGAUACAAGGAUGUCACCCGAUGUUAUUAUAGGUGUCAUUGUUAGUCUUAUAAUUAUUGGUGUCUUCGCUUUCAUUAUUCUCUACUAUAAUUAUAGAAAAGGUCGACUUCAGAAAUUGCUGUUUUGCUUAAAACCAACAUCACGCAC